CACCCGUUCCCAUACCGAACACGGAAGUUAAGCUUCUCAGCGCCGAUGGUAGUUGGGGCACGCGCCCCUGUGAGAGUAGGACGUUGCCAGGC
rnacentral:rRNA from 1 species